GACGAACGCUGGCGGCGUGCUUAACACAUGCAAGUCGAACGGAUCGGCCCUGCUUUUGUGGGGUGCUGGAGUGGCGAACGGGGGAGUAACACGUGAGUAAACUGCCCUUGCAUUUGGGAUAACUUCAGGAAACUGGGGCUAAUACCGGAUAGGAGCUCCUGAUGCAUGGAAGGGGUUGGAAAGUUUCGGGGGGUGGGGAUGGACUCGCGGGUUGUCAACGUGUUGGGGGGGUAGGGGCUUGACCAGGCUCUGACAGGUAGCCGGCCUGAGCGGGUAGGCGGCCACGUUAGAACGGAGCUGCGGCCCGGACUCAUACGGUAGGCAGCGGUGGGGAAGGGAGCACAGUGGGCGGAGGCCUGAUGCAGCAACGCCGCGUGCGGGAUGACAGCCUUCGGGUUGUAAACCGCAGUCGCCUGUGACGAAGCGUUAGUGACGGUAAUGGGUAAAGAAGCACCGGCUAACUACGUG
rnacentral:rRNA from 1 species